UAUGAGAAAAAUAAAAGCUUUAUGAUAAGGCUGAGAUUUUUUUUUUUUUUUUUUACUUUUUGCUUGAACCACCCGCAGUCAGCAGCCGCCAGCAAAAUUCAAAAACCAAGAAGUUUUAAGCAGUAUGGACUAUACAACAGAAUGUCGGUCACAUCCUUAGCCUGGCAGACAUUUAAUGUGUUUUAGCUGAAGCACUAAUCUGCAUUUGCCUGACAGGCAGACGAGAAGAGAUACUCAGAACAGGAAAUAUGAAAGUGGAGAGACGCUGACAAUGAGAACCAACCAUCCAGAUAUUAAUACUGGAUAUUUAUAUAUUUGGAUCAUGGGUGGGAUUUUUGAAGAGCAAAGCAGAAAAUCUUUUUUUCCCCGCAUCUCAGUGUGCCUUCAUGCUCAGUGACUUUACCUCAUUACUGCUGAGCUGAGGUAUUCGUUCUUUGUUUCUCUCGCACAACUCUGUCUCUGAGAUGUUUUAUGCUUAAACUAAUAAUGUACAACAUCAACAAAUGUCUCUUUUGAUACUCUUUAGCACAAAAUAAUCCCACAUGGUAAUGAUAUACAGUCCAUGAAAGCAUUUACAUUUUCUCUGCUGAAUACCUGCUGUCUUGUAGCUUUUUCAAUUGAAAAUUUCUGUGGUGCAAAUAAAGUGAUGCAUUUCAUAUUUUCUGCUUGGUUAACAGGAGCCAUGAUUGUCAUUGUGCGUGAAAGAAGCAUCCUGAAGCCAAACUAAGAAAUCCCAAGCAGCCUGGUUGAUAAACAGAAAAUGUAGAGCAAAAUCACCAGACAAAUGACUGCUUAGCACUGAACCUAUCCAUGCACAUGACCACUUUCAUCAAGAAGACAAUCAGUACAUAUUGUUCAUUACAUAAGUGUUAAGACAAACCUGUGUGGACCUCGAGAAUGUCUCAAUCAUUAAUCUAAGAGGCUUUAUUAGUAUUAAUACAUUGAACCUUUUAUGGUUCUGCUGAGUCUCAGUUGUCAAAAGGUAGCAAAAGUUGCCAGUUCCUCUCUUGCUACUUAUUUAAAUCAGUUUCCUUUGCCCUGGGACUCACUCUGGUUGUUGAAACGAACUUGCAUUUUAUCAGUAAAUGAAACUUGGCGUUCAGGAUCGAGUUGAAUCAGGAAGACUGUCUUCAUGCGCAGUUAUUCUCAGUUCCCUCUCUGUCUGUUGCCAACCAGAUUUUGCCACGAUUUCUAUCAGCCAAUAACAAUAUCUUUGCUGUUGUCUGUGCUGUCAUUUCAGUGCUCAUUGUUGUGAUCCUACUCCACCCCAUUCACCUCCAGCUCUUCAUAUCCAGUGCCCAGAUGAAGCUCAUCAGAGUCCACUCACUUGUCAUACAGAUCCUCAUUCCUGUCACUCCUUCCAGACUCCAUCGGAUGAAACAGCAGCAAUCAGCCAGUAAGAGAGGAGGCGGGCGGAGGGUGCGAUGUUUCCUGCUGCAUUCUGGAGGUGGACGGGAUAAUUACCAGCGGCCUUCUCCCUGAUUAGUGAUCUGAUGAGACUGCAGCGCUGCGAGCAGAAACAGCAUCACCACCCACCUGAUUACAAACGACAUCGCAGACCUCUGUUGUCAGGUUGUAUCCAUCAUAAUCAUUGUGGGAAAUGUAUCUGGCAUAGCAAUGUGGCUUUAAUGGUGGGAAAACAUUCUGCCAUAUUAAAAAUAAAAACAGCACUUCUGAGCAAGCAG